AAAAUGCAAAAAAAGUUAAUUGGUCGAAUUUUCCUAGAUCUCGGAACUUUGACCACCUAGGGUCUUGAGAUUACACCCACGGAUAGGCUAUCACUAUAUCUAUAUACAUGCAAAAUGUCGUGAAGUUUCGACGUAUAUUCUCCAACAAAUCCAACAUAGAAAAUGUUUCUGAUUUUUAGUCGAAUUUUCCUCUAUCUCGAGACCUGGACCACCUAGGGUCUUGAGAUUACACACACCUAUAGGUUUACACUAUAUCUAGAUACAUGCAAACUUUCGCGAAGAUCCGACGUCUAGGCUCCAACUAAUGCAACAAACAAAAUUUUUCUGAUUUAUCGUCCAAAUUUCCCUCCCAAAACCCUCCAAAAUCAAAUUUGGCGCGAACUAUGACGCAUAUGUAACUAACAUCUCUCAACUGCUAACUAGCGCCCACAAUAUAUAUAGUUCGACAAUAGACUUGUACAUGAGCCUUCCAGAGCCGAACGGAGGGACCCAAUUAAGAAUUUUUCGCAAAAUGCAUCAAAAAUAUUUUCGUCGGCCAAUAUCUUGGGACCCGGAGCGGAAAUUUUUCUGAUUUUUAGCUGAAUUUUCCGUAACAGACCUAAUAUUUCUUAAUUUGAAUACACAUUCGGAACAAAGCUACUAAUCUUUCAUAUUUUCCUGUCAAAUGAUGUUACCAAGGCAACAAAAAUAACAAACAAAAAGUCUAUAAAAGGGCGAGCUUCCGAACGAUUUCAUUCAUUCCUGUGUGGAAGCCUAAGGAAGAGGUAAUUGGAAAAGAAAAGGAAAAGGAAAAAAAUUGGUGAGAAUAAUUAAAAUGAAUGGAAAAGAGCUUCUAAACGACGAACGCCUGCGUGGAGAAAAUUUAAAGGCAAGUGUUUGUGAUUUUUUGGGUGAGGAAGCCUUGCAAGCCAUAGAAAAGCAAAUGCAAAUGGUUUGACAAAAGAUGUCCAAGAUAUACAAUUGCCCACAACGCAAACUUAUGCGCUGGACCAUGCCGUUUACGCUUGAUAAUGCUACUUAUUUCAAACACAAAAAAGAUUGAAGUCAGAACCAAUGCCGGAGAACGUGCAACAAAAAUAGUUAUCUACGCAGACCGUCUAAUUAAAUAAGGACAAAAUUAAAACCUGCUGCUGCCAAAUAGAAACUAUCAGUCUGCUAAAUGACCGAAGAUUUUUGAAGUGGAAACGCGUCUUUCCUUUGUUGGUGUGUGAUAAAUCUACCUUUCCUUUUUCAUUGCCAAAACCUUCAAUUGUCAGUUCGUUUCGAAAGAGAAAUAAAGAAAAAUAAUUUUUGUCAAUUGAACACAAGACGCAUUAAGUUCGUUUCGUUGUUUUUAAUCAUUCGGUGACAAUUAAACAUGAAAAACAAUAUCAAAUGCAGUGGAGUUAACGUACGUAAGACUGCUUGCCAUACCAAAAUCUGCGGCUACAAGAACAAGAACAACAACAUCAACUGUGCCAUUUAUGCUGGGUAACGGCACUGAUUCUCCGACACAAAAAUAAUUUAAGUCAUAAACAAUGCCGGUCAAAGUGCUAAAAAGAAGCAAAAGUUGUGCGGCAAUACCCCAAUUUUGAAAAACAAUGUUGUCCUGCACCAGCGGAAACGAAUAAUUAUCUACGCAGACUGCUAAAGGACAACAGAACCUGAUACUGCUGCUGCUGC